CAGAGAUCCUGAUGUGGUGAAUAGAGGAGUAGUUGGUGGAGCAAGGAGCCAUGUCUGUGCAGGUGAAAUGAGCAGCUUCGUCAGUGUGACACUGUAAGCUCUGAUCUCUCUGGAAGAGCCACUCUUCAUUUUAUAUUUCUUGGAUGUCCCACCAUACAAACCAGAAAUCGCCUCAUUGUAGUCUUUUGGAGCAAGUUUUGACCACUGUUGAGUCCUACUGUAUCUGUCAGACCAACUUUACCCUACACUGUACUAAUCAAGCACCUUGCUCUGGUCACUGGUGUGCUGAUAACAAAACUCCUGCUUGUUCACCCAUGGCACACUUCUAUUGUUGACUGAGGGUAUUAAGCCGUGAGUGGACGGAGAGACUGUGGGAAAACCGAGCUCCGACUCUACUCACACAUCUACUGGUCAAUAGCGCUGACCUCCCAGCCACAAAAGGCCUUUUCAUCUCUCCUCUCAAACAACAGCCAACAGCAGCACUGUGUAUGUGUGUGUCCGUGUGUGGUUGCACGUGCACACAGACCCAAGACAGGCCAAUUGUGCAUUUAUUUGAAAUGCAAUGAGAUGUUACGUCAUGCUGCAAUGCUGAACCUUAUUUUUCUGUGACCUGCUGCCACUUGUUGUCAAAUCCCUGGAAAUAUGAUCUCAUCACUUGUUUUGUCGACCCAAGCUGACAUUUGUAAACCAUAAAAGCUUUUACAGGUCACUUAAUCAAAUAUAAAACAUCUCAAAAACAACAGAAACAGACAAGGCUGUCUUUUCUCCAACACAUAAACUUUUUGAUCAAGAUUGUUAUCUUUAUUUUAUAAAUACUUGUGAGGUUUUCUACAAAUUAUUUUCAGUUUCAGGUAUUCUGGAAACAAGUGAAACUUCCUCAGAAACAUGAAAUGGUCUCACACUAGUGGCAUCUAUUUUGUUUUUCAUAGAAAAAUUCAACCGUUAUUAGUGCGACAGUCCCUAGUACAGCUGCCAGGGGACGCUGUUGAUUCUCUCCAACAGCACACACACAUCCAUUUAUUUGGUGUCAUUACUUAGUAGUGGUGGCACACUGCCAGCUUGAUUUUUUUUCUCUCCUCUGUCCGUGUUGACGAGAUGUAAAAUGUAUCAUUUAGUAUGUCAUUUAGUGUGUCUUUUGUGAACUGAUAUAAGGAAACGAGAAUCUCAGUUUUAGAAAUAUUAAAUAAGGAUGAUUUUGACAGUGCUGUUGAUGGGAUGUAACUAUAGAUAUCUGUGUUGAAAAGAUUUUUUUUUUUCGAAAAGGUUCCAUAGGCCUUUCUCACAGCAGACAUUCUGAUAUAAAACAGUAGGAAA